GAUGAACGCUGGCGGUGUGCCUAAUACAUGCAAGUCGAGCGGUAGCAGGCUUUCACUAUUUGCUUCUCUCUCAUCUUUUGGAUGAGAUCAAGAGGAGGAAGUGGUGAAAGUGCUGACGAGCGGCGGACGGCUGAGUAACGCGUAGGAACGUGCCCCAAAGUGAGGGAUAACGCACCGAAAGGUGUGCUAAUACCGCAUAUGGUCUUCGGAUUAAAGUAUUUAUACGCUUUGGGAGCGGCCUGCGUACGAUUAGAUUGUUGGUGAGGUAAAGGCUCACCAAGUCGACGAUCGUUAGCUGGUCUGAGAGGAUGAUCAGCCAGACUGGGACUGAGACACGGCCCAGACUCCUACGGGAGGCAGCAGUAAGGAAUCUUCCACAAUGGGCGAAAGCCUGAUGGGGCAACACCGCGUGAAGGAUGAAGGCCCUAGGGUCGUAAACUUCUUUUAUGAGCGAAGAAUAUGACGGUAACUCAUGAAUAAGGGUCGGCUAACUACGUGCCAGCAGCCGCGGUCAUACGUAGGACCCAAGCGUUAUCCGGAGUGACUGGGCGUAAAGAGUUGCGUAGGCGGCUUAGUAAGUGGAUAGUGAAACCUGGUGGCUCAACCAUUCAGACUAUUAUCCAAACUGCUAAGCUCGAGAAUGGUAGAGGUGGCUGGAAUUUCUAGUGUAGGAGUGAAAUCCGUAGAUAUUAGAAGGAACACCAAUGGCGUAGGCAGGCCACUGGACCAUUUCUGACGCUGAGGCACGAAAGCGUGGGGAGCGAACCGGAUUAGAUACCCGGGUAGUCCACGCUGUAAACGAUGGAUACUAGCUGUGGGGGGUAUCGACCCCCUCCGUAGCGAAGCUAACGCGUUAAGUAUCCCGCCUGUGGAGUACGGCCGCAAGGCUAAAACAUAAAGGAAUUGACGGGGACCCGCACAAGUAGUGGGUCGUGUUCUUUAAUUCGAUGAUAAACGAAGAACCUUACCAGGGCUUGACAUCCCUUGAAUUACCCCGAAAGGGGUGAGUGCUUUAUUGAACAAGGUGACAGGUGCUGCAUGGCCGUCGUCAGCUCGUGUCGUGAGAUGUUUGGUUAAGUCCAUCAAUGAGCGCAACCCUUAUAGUUAGUUGAAUUUUUCUAGCUAGACUGCCCCGGUAACGGGGAGGAAGGAGGGGAUGAUGUCAGGUCAGUAUUGCCCUUACGUCCUGGGCUAGAAACGCGAUACAAUGGCCGGUACAACGGGCAGCCAACCCGCAAGGGGGAGCAAAUCCCAUCAAAACCGGUCCCAGUUCGGAUAGCAGGCUGAAACUCGCCUGCUUGAAGUCGGAAUUACUAGUAAUCGCAGAUCAGCAUGCUGCGGUGAAUACGUUCCCGGGUCU
rnacentral:rRNA from 1 species